rnacentral:rRNA from 2 species
UGAUGGUGCUUGCACCUGAUUGAUUUUGGUCGCCAACGAGUGGCGGACGGGUGAGUAACACGUAGGUAACCUGCCCAGAAGCGGGGGACAACAUUUGGAAACAGAUGCUAAUACCGCAUAACAACGUUGUUCGCAUGAACAACGCUUAAAAGAUGGCUUCUCGCUAUCACUUCUGGAUGGACCUGCGGUGCAUUAGCUUGUUGGUGGGGUAACGGCCUACCAAGGCGAUGAUGCAUAGCCGAGUUGAGAGACUGAUCGGCCACAAUGGGACUGAGACACGGCCCAUACUCCUACGGGAGGCAGCAGUAGGGAAUCUUCCACAAUGGGCGCAAGCCUGAUGGAGCAACACCGCGUGAGUGAAGAAGGGUUUCGGCUCGUAAAGCUCUGUUGUUAAAGAAGAACACGUAUGAGAGUAACUGUUCAUACGUUGACGGUAUUUAACCAGAAAGUCACGGCUAACUACGUGCCAGCAGCCGCGGUAAUACGUAGGUGGCAAGCGUUAUCCGGAUUUAUUGGGCGUAAAGAGAGUGCAGGCGGUUUUCUAAGUCUGAUGUGAAAGCCUUCGGCUUAACCGGAGAAGUGCAUCGGAAACUGGAUAACUUGAGUGCAGAAGAGGGUAGUGGAACUCCAUGUGUAGCGGUGGAAUGCGUAGAUAUAUGGAAGAACACCAGUGGCGAAGGCGGCUACCUGGUCUGCAACUGACGCUGAGACUCGAAAGCAUGGGUAGCGAACAGGAUUAGAUACCCUGGUAGUCCAUGCCGUAAACGAUGAGUGCUAGGUGUUGGAGGGUUUCCGCCCUUCAGUGCCGGAGCUAACGCAUUAAGCACUCCGCCUGGGGAGUACGACCGCAAGGUUGAAACUCAAAGGAAUUGACGGGGGCCCGCACAAGCGGUGGAGCAUGUGGUUUAAUUCGAAGCUACGCGAAGAACCUUACCAGGUCUUGACAUCUUGCGCCAACCCUAGAGAUAGGGCGUUUCCUUCGGGAACGCAAUGACAGGUGGUGCAUGGUCGUCGUCAGCUCGUGUCGUGAGAUGUUGGGUUAAGUCCCGCAACGAGCGCAACCCUUGUUACUAGUUGCCAGCAUUAAGUUGGGCACUCUAGUGAGACUGCCGGUGACAAACCGGAGGAAGGUGGGGACGACGUCAGAUCAUCAUGCCCCUUAUGACCUGGGCUACACACGUGCUACAAUGGACGGUACAACGAGUCGCGAACUCGCGAGGGCAAGCAAAUCUCUUAAAACCGUUCUCAGUUCGGACUGCAGGCUGCAACUCGCCUGCACGAAGUCGGAAUCGCUAGUAAUCG